GUGUAACAGCGAGAUAUCGGCCAAGAGUAAGCAUAUAUUCAAAACUAAAUUAAGUAUCCUUUUCAUCUUUUCAGGAGUCCCAUCAAAUUUUAGUCACAAAAUUAAAGGGGAAAAGGAAAAAGGAAGGAGCAGAAUGAUGGAGUAGAAGAGUCCACUGAUCACCGUCCCCUGCCGACAAGGACACCAAUUUAACAACUAUCUACACAGAAGAAAGAAAGAAAGAAAAAAAAAAAACACCUUCAUGAGAACCAGAACCAAAAAUCAGAUGAGCACUCAUAGUAGCUGGUUCUAACUUCACAAUGUUGAAAGAGGCACUGAAGAGAUAGAAAAAACACUGAAAUGCCUAUGCCACCCUGCCCCCACCCCCACCCUCCUGCAGUGGCAGCAUGGGACAGAGAGCGUCUCUGCGCCCUGGAGAAGAGAGAACACAGUAAUUGUGAGGCAAUGAACUCAGUGCUGUCCUGGUAGAUCAGAAAGGAAAUCUGGACCAAACUCAGCUAAUGCCCAUCCACAGAGGGAGGAUUUAAACCAGCCCUAACCAGAGGGAAAUUACCUAUCCCAGCUACCUGAACUUGAGUUCCUGAAAACCUCCCCUCCAAAGGCUACAGUGCUCUGUGUCUCCAAGUAAACUUGAAAGGCAGUCUAGGCCAUAAGAACUGCAACCCUUAGGUGAGUCCUAGUGCUGAACUAGGCCCAGAGACAGUGGACUAGGGCACACGUCACAUACUGAGAUAUAAGCUGGGGCCACCAAGGGAAUGCUGGCAUUAUCCCUUCCCUAACCCCAGGCUGCACAGCUUGUGGCUCUAAAAGAGACCCCUUUCUUCCUCUAGAGAAGAGGACAGGGAAGAACUUUGUCUUGCAUAUUGGAUACCAGCUCAACCACAGCAGGAUAGGACACCAGUCAGGGUCAUGAGGAAGCAGUUCCAGGCCCUAGCUCCCAGGUGCCAUUUCUAGACACAUGUGCUGCCUUAAAGGAAAGGAGUCAGUCUUGACAGCAUUCAACAGCUGCUAAUUGAAGAACCCCUGGACCCUCAACAACCAGCCUGGAUACCCAGAUACUAUGUCAAGGGUCUUGGGACCUGACCCUUAGAUGGCAUUUCUGGACCUGCCCUGAAGCAGAGGGGAUCCCACUACCCUGAAGACCUUUUGGGAACUUAUUUGCAAAGAAGUCCCCGCCAUAAAGAUCUAUAAUCUUUUCAACAACCUAUUUGGGAAAAUGCAUGAUAGGGCCGUGAAAAACAUUAUGUUCUAAGACAAAGGCCUAAUAUUAUCAUGAGCAGCCUAGAGUGACGGAGAGAACACUAAAUGCUGACUGGGUGCUGUUUUCAAUGUGAUCAUCAAGUGGCCAUGUGACCUUCAAUGGAUGCCAGCUUUCCAUGAGGCUUCAACUCCUCAUUAACGAAAGAGCAAAAUAAUACUUACCUCAACUUCUUUCUAGGGCUAUAGAGAAAAAAAAAAUGUUUAGAAAGAAUGUAAUAUUUUAAGAGAGCAUAUUGUUCUUUAUUGCCAUAAUAAAAGUAAUCAUAAUCUACAUUAUGAGGAUCACCUUGGUAUAGUAUUAAGCAUGACACUGAGAAACAGGCGAUGAGAGUUUCAGUUAUGCCUUCUGAAUUUAUUAUUGGUUGACCUUGGAAAAGCUCCUUAACUUCUCUGCAUCUCUUUUGCUGCUUUUGUAAAAAGCAAAUGAAAAGACAACACAUUAAUCAUGGCAGGAAACUGGAAAUUACAAUCUUUCCAGGUUAAAACCACAUGUUUUGAAGUAAAAUCUUUUAGUCUAAAAUUUUUUAAGAUAAUGGAUAAUGAAUUUUCAAUAAUAAUAAUAGCAUAUUCUCAAUAAUAAUAAUACUUAAAUAUAUUGAACUUCUACAUCAUUUAGGAAAUAUGCUACUUUAUAUGUAUGUUAUUUAGUCUUCAGAAAAAAACACUCUGAGAGAUAUUAUUUUUGUCAUUUCACCACUAAGGAAUCUGAAUUUGAAAGGUUAAGUAACCUUAUCAAACUCAUAGAGAGACUAGCAAUAAGUUUGAGAUUUAAAUACAGUAUGAUUCUAAAGCACAGGUUUUGAACCAUCAUGUUCCAAUAUUCUCAAUAUAAUAUAAUAGCUCUGGGUAUGAAUAAACAGUUUCAGUUUGAGUCUGUAAAAGAUCAGUGGUAAUUCAAGAACAAAAACAAUUUAGUCUUUAAAAGACACAACAGUUGUGCCCUACUUGAAAUUUUACCUCUCUUUAUACUUUAUUUACACUGUGCCCAGCAUAUAGGAGCUGGAUGUUUUAUACUUGAAACAGGGUUAAUAGCACCUGGUUAUAUGAUUUGACAGUCAGCUUAUAUGUCCAUUCACCUCACUUGAGACUUCUAGACCACACUGCCAAAAUAUCCAUUUUAGUUCUGAGAAAAAAUAUAUUAGAGAACUGUGGAGAGAGGGAACCAAAGUUAGUUUAGGCAUGAAAUUGUUCUGAGCUGAGAAUUUUGCCCCUAGGAAUUUUAAGCAAAUAUGGAUCCACUUCUCCAUGAAUUAGAAACAUUUGUAGUUUCCUACAUAGUGCAGACGUGAGGAUUUCUUUUAUUCUUUUGUUCUUUAUUCUUUAAUUAGAAGAAUUAAAUUGAAUGGUUCCUGCGAGACUUAUGGCAGAUUGUACUUUCCAAUAUAGCUACAACAAUAUUUCCCAACACUUACGCUCAACUGCAAUGUAAUCUUGUCUUUUGGAAACUGCAGAGGAUUGGAAAAUGGGCAGAAAAACAGUUGUAUAUAUUACAUGUCACAUGUUACAUGUUACAUGAUUCAGUCAUUGGGUGAGGUGACAGCAGAUCACAAUUUAUUUUUUCCUUAGCACUUUGAGACCUGACUCUACCUCUAAAAACAUUUAUUCAUAGAACAAGCAAAGCAACCAUAGAGAACUGACUACAGCCAAGAGUUGUUCUAAGAAGGGUAUUAAAAAGUCUUCACCUCCUACAUUCAGCUGGAGCAAGAACAAGGACAUUUUCUACUUUGGAAAUAGGAGCAAGGGUUCUGAGGGAAGAGCAACUGGUGCCAUUGGUCUCUGGCUUGUCCACUAGCUCAAAUUGUAGGUUUUCCUCCUUUUUACAUUUAAUGUCUAUGGGUUGAAAAAUAAACAACUUAGUUCAGCUAUGUGGAUCGGCUAAAAAAAAUAAUGAAAGACCAUAAUUAAAAAUGUACUGAAGUUACUUUAGAAAACAUUCAGCAGCAGUUGCCUAGAUUUUACUUUUUGCUGCACCUAUUUUUUUCUCAGAUAGAAGUGUAUACUCACAUCUAACAAAUAGCUUUUUGACAUUUUUGUUAACCGGUCACUGUACUAGAUGGCAAUGAGUGAAUCAGGAAGAUCUUCCCUACCCUCAUGUGGCUGACAUUCUAGUAGAAAACAUAAACAUAACAUUAAAUUACAUUGCAAGAAGUAUUUGGAAGUAAGCACUGAGUUCUCUAAGAGUAUAAAACAGGAAGCCAUAACCUAAAAUUGAGUUUGGAGGGCCAUUUUUUUUUAAUGACAGUGAUAUGUAAUCAGAGACAAAGAAGAUGAGUAACCAUUGACAGGGUCAGGUUGAGAGGAGGACCACAAUAAUUUCUGUCAGUGGGAAGAACAAGUAAAAAGUUCUUGCAGUGGUGGGGAGCAUGACACAUUCGAGCUAAUGAAAAUUAUUCAAUGGUUCUAUGAGGCAGAAAGCCAGAGGAAAUGAUCAGAAAUGAAUGUAGAGAGGGAGGGAGGAUCAUAUGCAGGGAUAUUUAGGCUUUGUUAAGAGUUCUGCACUUUAUCCAAAAUACAUGGAGAACCCAUUAAAGAGUUUUAAAAUGAAGAAGAGUAAAACGGGAUUUGGUGUGUGUUUGUUUGCUUUGUUUUGAAAGACCAUUGCAGCUAUGUUGUGGAUAAUGGAUUGGGGGAGGUAAGAGAAAAUGCUCCUAAACCACGAUGUUAGUUAGGAGGUUUGGUAGAACAGUUAAGCAAAGAGGUAAUGGUGGCUUUGAUUAGGAUGGAGAAAAGAUAAUAGAUGCUAAAGUAUAUUUAGGAAGUAGAUUUAAAACGACUUAACAAUGAAUUGAAUGAGGAGUGAGAGUUAUUUUGGCAACAAAGAUAAAUCCAGAUUAUUGGCAUGAAUGUUGAUGUCUUUUCAAAAUAUCAAGAAAUGUUUUGUGUUAUUGGGUUUGAAAUAACUAAAGACAUCUAAGUAGAGAUUGUGAUAAAUCAGUAGAUAGGGGCCAGCAGUAUAUUUUACACCAGAGGAAAAGUUGGGCAUGAAAAAUAAAAUCUGAAGAGGGCUUGAAACAAAAGCUUAUGGAUGCACAUAUAAAUGUAUAUGUGUAUAUGUUCGCACAUAUGUAUUUCCCAUAUGAUUGUUGUAAUAAAGUUCUCACAAAAAAUACCUAUUUGUUAUUUGCUUUCUAUAUAAUUCCUUUUAAUGAUUGGAGAUUUUUUUAAAGACUAAGUUGUGAGUGACUCUUAGAGAUCAUAAGGACAAGUCUUUUAUGAACUAUAGAAACUCCUCUUGUAAUAAUCUUGGGAGGUGCUGGUUAAGCAUCUGUUUCCAUAUUCCAGAUAACAGGAAACUCACUACAUUAGGGAAUGGGCUAGUUCAUUAUGGAAUGCUUCACUGGAGGGAUAAAAUCAUUUCUUACAUACAUGGGUCAUAGUUUUUUUGUAUAAAACACCAUUAAAUAGAAACUUCUCUAUUUUUAUGAUACCUUUUCAAACACUAUGACUGGUGUUGUGCAUGUCC